UCACCCAGGAUCUCGACUGAGGAGUGGUGAUGUUGCGGUGGGCAGCGGCCACACUCUCUCCAGGACUAGAUCGGCGGCUCAUGUGCGAGUGAACGAGGUCGACCCAGUGUGUGUGGCUGACCCGCCCGGUGCAACUCAGAAGGGAUUCCUUAGGUUGAGGAACUGCGGACUGGCUGAGGUCUGCGACCAUGAAGGUCAAAGUCAUCCCGGUACUUGAAGACAACUACAUGUACCUGAUCAUUGAGGAACACACACGGGAGGCCGUGGCUGUAGACGUGGCUGUGCCCAAGAGGCACCUGAACCGAGUGCGCCAGUAUGGGGUGGGUGGCCCACCUGGCCGUCACUUCAUCCUUACCAGCUGCUGGAGAUUGCUGGCCGCGAGGGAGUGUCUCUGACCACGGUGCUGUCCACCCAUCAUCACUGGGACCAUACACGUGGAAAUGCGGAGCUGGCGCGCCUGCAGCCAGGACUGGCUAUCAUGGGAGCAGAUGAGCGGAUCUGCGCGCUAACCCGCAGGCUGGAACACGGAGAGGAACUUCAGUUUGGGGCCAUCCACGUGCGAUGCCUCUUGACGCCGGGCCACACCUCUGGCCACAUGAGCUACUUCCUGUGGGAGGAUGAAUGCCCGGACCCACCAGCCCUCUUCUCUGGAGAUGCUCUGUCAGUGGCAGGCUGUGGCUGGCACCUGGAGGACACUGCC
rnacentral:lncRNA from 1 species